rnacentral:rRNA from 1 species
AUUGAACGCUGGCGGCAGGCCUAACACAUGCAAGUCGAACGAGUGGCGGACGGGUGAGUAAUGUCUGGGAAACUGCCCGAUGGCGGGGGAUAACUACUGGAAACGGUAGCUAAUACCGCGUACCAUCGGAUGUGCCCAGAUGGGAUUAGCUUGUAGGUUGGGUAACGGCUCACCUAGGCGACGGUCCCUAGCUGGUCUGAGAGGAUGACCAGCCACACUGGAACUGAGACACGGUCCAGACUCCUACGGGAGGCAGCUGUGGGUGAUAUUGCACGAUGGGCGCAAGCCUGAUGCAGCCAUGCCGCGUGUAUGCAGAAGGCCUUCGUGUUGUGAAGUACUUUCAGCGUGGAGGCGUUACCCGCUGAAGAAGCACCGGCUAACUCCGUGCCAGCAACCACGAUGAUUC